rnacentral:tRNA from 1 species
GGGGGUCGAAGGGGGUGUCCCCCUUCAGCUUCGGUUCGCACCCGAGAGGUCCCGGGUUCAAAUCCCGGCCGGUCCA